rnacentral:rRNA from 1 species
UACGUAGGGGGCAAGCGUUAUCCGGAUUUACUGGGUGUAAAGGGAGCGUAGACGGCAAGGCAAGUCCGGAGUGAAAGCCCGGGGCCCAACCCCGGGACUGCUCUGGAAACUGUUAGGCUGGAGUGCGGGAGGGGCAGGCGGAAUUCCUGGUGUAGCGGUGAAAUGCGUAGAUAUCAGGAGGAACACCGGCGGCGAAGGCGGCCUGCUGGACCGCGACUGACGUUGAGGCUCGAAAGCGUGGGGAGCGAACAGG